rnacentral:lncRNA from 1 species
CGGCUGAAAUCUUCCUGCAUUAAAUCUGUAAUGGAGUCAUUAUCGACAAAAUUCUUAUUAGGCAGUAGGUCAUUCAGAAGAUAGAGUCAGUAUAUAGUAAUAUGCUUUUACUGGUUUGAAGACUGUGUAGGUUUCUUAUUGCUGCUUUAACAAAUUACUAAGAACAUAGUGGCUCAAACAACACACAUGUUGUUAUCUGGAAGUCAGAAGUCCAAAAUGGGUUUCAUUAGACUAAAAUCAAGGAGUCAGCAGAACUGUAUUUUUUGAGCCUCUAGGAAAGAAUCAGUUUCUUCUUUUUCAGCUUCUGGUGCCUAUCUAUCUGUGUUCCUUGGCUUAUGGCCUCCAGUCAGCAAUCUCAUCACUCCAGUAUGCUUCUGUCCUCACAUCUCCUCUUAACUCUGAACUUUCUUUUUCUUUCCCAAAAAAGGACCCAGAAAAGGAUUAUACUGGGCUCACUUAGAUAAUCCAGGACAAUUUCCCAUCUCAGGCACCCUACAUUUAUUGUAUCUGUAAAAUCCCUAUUGCCAUGUAAGUUAAUAUAGUCACAUAUUACAAGGAUUGAGGUGUGCCCAUUUUGGAGAGCCAUUAUUCUGCCUAUCACAAGGACAUUGAUAUAGUCAUACUUUUUCUCCCCAUUCUGUUGCUAUUUAGGUUAUUAUUGCCAUUGUUCUUCUUCUGUUGUGUUUGAAAUAAAAUUCUGGUUUAGUGGUUCUUAGGAUCAUGAGGCACACCAGCAUGUCAACAUCACCUCUGAAGUGCAUAGCAAGUAAUUUGUAACCAGACUUUUUAAAUGAUUCAUUCCUUUUUAAACACGUUAGUGUAUAGGCAAGGUCAUUCCCAUAACUUAUGCUCUUUCUGCUAAUGCCUUGAAUGGGAGAAAAAGGAAUGGAUAUUACAAUAAGCUUACAAAAAUUACAUAUAUCUCAAACCUACAAUAAGUGUCUAUUUUGGCUGUAUUAAUAUUAUAGCUAUAUCAGUAGCUAUAAUUAUAAAUUAUAAUUUAAAAAUUUGUGAUAGUAGGGGGUGUUUAUCCAAGCCUGGUACCUGUCCAAGAAUAUUUUAUACCUAUGAAUGUCAUUUUUCAUGCUGCUCAUGGAUCAGUGAACAGAAUUUGAUACUUUUUGCCCUUGUGGGUCAAAAAUUAAUGCAAUGUGAAUAGCUAAUAUAGUCUACAAAGAAGCUUAGGUAAAUACAAAUAAUGACAAUAAAAGCAAUAAUAAAAAUUGUGAAAUGUAGUCAAACCAGAUUGGAAAAAAUAUGGUAGCAAUUGUAAUUUAGAGUAAUAUUUAUCAUUAUCAUCUUAUUGGGGAAAGCUAUACGUAAUUAAAUACAGCCUGCAAUCUUUUAACAGAAAUGCACAUUUGAUUUAAUUAGCUUUUUCUUUCAAUAAAAUUUACUUGCUAUUAUAUAAAUUGCUUUUUAAAAUCACAAAUUACCAAAAGCAGCUAGUGUCUAGUAAAUUUUGUACCUCUUCCUACCAAUAAAAUUUCAGAAGUCUGCUGAUACUUAUCGUUGGCAAUAAAAUAAUUCUGCUGAUGUAUUUUAGUUGAUUAAUGUGCAUUUGAUUUUAUAACAAACUGGAAAUACAUUUCUAAGAUACAGUAAACUGAUGGCUAAAUCCAUUUCAAAGUAAUACAUAGUGGUGAUGUUUUGUGCUAUUCCAUGAUAAAGAAGAAAUAAGCACUAGUAAAAGAAAUCUGGAUAUUUUAAUGAGUUAGGAAAGAAUGAUAGAAGCCACACUUCUAUUAAAAGAAACAAGCAACAAAACACACACACAUACAAUCUGUGCUUAGACUGAAUAGAAAUAUGAAGAGAUAAAUGACCUCAUAUGCAUUCAGUGGAAAGAAAAGUUUGAGGCAAUGAAGCUAAACAUAAAAGAGGAAAAGCAAAUGUAACCUCAGUGACCACAAGCUACAAAGUCCAAAUAGAAAACCUGGGAGUAUGAGAGGAUGAAACUAAAACCUCCAGCAAAGAGCUUAACAGCAAUUAAAAUAAAGACAAAUUUCUGGGAUGGAUAAACAAAGUAGCAUAUAUUACAAAGGAAAAUAUACUAGUAUCAUGUAAGUUUUUUUUAGUAACUGCUUUCAAAUAAUUGAAUCAUAAACAAUGAUUUCUGCGGUUUUAAGCUCAUUAUUUUGGUUCCCUGGUUUCUCCUAGGAUGCAGUAUAGAAUCUCCAUGCCUGAUGUUUAUGUACCAACAGAAGCUGCUGCUUCUUUCUUUCAUUAUUUCCUUUUUAAGUGAAAGUUAAUACCUUUUAUAUGUUACAGAGAAGAGGCAGAAAAAGCCACACUCCCACUAUGCUAUAAAUGCACUGAGGAUCAACUGAGGGAUGAUUAUACACAUGGCUGAAUACAGUUUAUUCAUUUGUUCUUUGGAUUUGUAGAUAACAAAUGGUGGUAUUCUGUAACAUCUUGUGCGAUUAGCAAAUGUAAGGCCGAAAUGAAUCUUUCAAACAGUGUAUAAACAGUUUGAUUUUCAAAAUUAUAUAGACAUUUCAUUCUGAUGUACGCAAUUCAUGUGUGUAUCUCUUCCAGUCUUCUUCCUUUGAAAUCACCUCUGUUGGGUACACAAAACAGUAGGGACAAAGAUUUAGAUUUGACACAUGCAUUAAAAUCAUUACUGUUUGUUUGUGUGCAAGUAUACCUUAAAAGAGUGCCUGUACCCUGACAUGUCAUGAUAAUAUUAUCUUAGAGAUUACAGUUAAAGAAACCAUAUUAAGUACCUUCUCAUUAUGGAAUAUUUUGAAAAAGUCAGUUGUGAAUACCGCUGAAAUCACUGGAUUUGAGUCUGAAACAGGACAGGUUAACAUGACAUUCUAUGUGAUACUGAAUUCUACUUCAUGACAAGUAAUAGUGUGAUUUGAUUCAAUUCCAUAUAAUGACAAUUUUUGAAGAGCUUUUUUUGUGAAAGGUCUCAGCUAAGCAUAUGAGAAUAAUUAGAACACAGUAUAAGAGUUUUGGCAGUUUGAAGACCAAUGUUGAAGAAAGAAAUGUUAGUUGCCCAUGUUGAAUACACACACACACACACACACACACACACACACAAUCUUUUAUGAAGAGUUAUAUUUUAGUGUACUAUGUAAGUGACAGAGAAUUAGCUUUAUACUUAUAUUGGCCCAUACUGGAAUGUGUAUUAGAAUAUCCAUACACUUACUUAAAAUUUCUGUAAUUCUUAAACCUCUAUCAUAGUGCUUAUUAUGUUGAUUACUUAUUUGAAAACUGGAUUAAUUGAAUACAGAUGAAAGGUAAAAUGUUCAGGAUGGACACUAACUAUUAACUUUUAAGGAUACCUAAGAAUGUUUAUGAAAAACAUGUUCCAUGCUACAAAUAAAAAAAAAUAUGUGUUCUUUAUCAAGCCAGUACCAUUUGCCCAGGCCAGCCCAGACACAGGCCAAACGUGUUCUCAUGCAUGUUGACUUUAGUGUGUGGAAUAAAUUUUCUAAGACAUUGAACAAAGUAUUUUUGUUACUAGUUUAUUAGAAUGUUUCCAUAUUCAGGUAUAGUUUGGAAUGGCAGGGGAAAUUGGGAGAGAAUUAGUUUCACGGGCUUUCCGUGAUUGGUUCUAAAAUACACGUUGCCAAACACCUCUCCUCUACCACCACCGGUUGUACAGAAAUAUUUUAUAAUUUCUUCUUCCACAUUCUUCUUGAAUUUCUAAACAUCCCUUAGUUUUGAUUCUGCUGAAAGCAUUUUGACCAAGUCACAUUCUCCACAACAAAAUUGCUGGUAUACGUAUAGUUUGAAAUCUCCAGUAUCUGAUAUUGCUUAUCACGUCUCUGUAGAAAUCAAAGCAUAAGUAUAAAAGAAGGAAGAUAGUAUAUUUUCUACUUCUUGAGUUGAAAAAUUAGGAAAGUUAUCUAUUUUUUAAAUCAUUUGUCUUUAGUUGGUUUUCCCCUGUUUCCAUUGUUCCUACUUUUAAUUUUGUUAUAGAGUCCAUUUCAAAAGAUAUUUCUUCUUCCCUGCACUUCUACCCUGCAUUAAAUAUUUAUAAGAUCAGCUAAGUGUCUCAGGGAAAACAUGGCUUUGUGAAAACAAGAACAUGGCUAGUAGCAAAAGCUGACUCUGAUUUCAAAUAUUUGUCUUUAUUUUAAAACUACUCAAUUCUGAGUUCUUGAUCAAUAAUACUUGAUUUGGACUCAUCAAAACUAACUAUACUUUUGGGAAAUGUAGUCACAUAUUAAAAAUAUAGUGGCUUGAAUAAGUAAUCUAUUACAAAAUUAAACUGUAAUUCUAAGAUGUAUUUAACAUUCAGGAAGACUUCCAUAAGACUACUUCCAAUUUUUACAACUUUCAGGGCUUAAGCAGUAUUAAACACGUGCUAGAUAAAUAGAGUCUGUUCUCAGGAUUUACAAGGAUCAAAUAUCAGUAGAACAAAGUUCCUCCCAAUUUGUGAACUUAAGUCUGUUAGAAAGUAAUAAAUGUCUUUAUAGCUGUGGAUAAAGAUCCAUUCCUAUACUGACAUGAUCUAGCAGAGGGUAUAAUCAAAUAUACAUAAUUGGAGUGUUUUGUCAAUAAAGUGAAAUAGGGAGAAAUCCUGAACAUCCCUCCUGUCUGAAGCUCCCUAAUCCAUUAAGCACUGAAGGAGACAGAAAUAUGGAGAAAUGCUCACUUUUGCUGAAAGGCACUGCUUUUCCUGCCCUUUCUAUAAAAGACAGUUAAGCGAUGAUGGGAUAAUUCAGGGUGGUUUUCUGCCUCCUUUUGGUCCACUUACCCCUGGAAUGCAAAUGUGAAUCUUCCUCCACCUAAGAAAAUAAUAAACUUAGGUCUUUCUUUCUCCCUACACUCCUCUUCUUUCCCCAUUUUUCCCUCAUCCUCUCUUCUUUCUCUUCUGCUUCCUUUAUUCUUCUUUCUCCUCCCCCUCUUUCAUCUUUUCUUCCUAAACACCUUUUCAGGAGUGAAUCUCCUCUAUUACUUGUUGGGAUAAACAAUUUUUUAUGUCUAUACAUAGAAAUGAUAGCUUCAGAAUUAAGGAAAGAUAAUUCAUUUAAAUGGAAAUGAAAUACAUGCUCAUGUGUGUUUUCUUAACAAUCACAAUAAGUGCUAUCUUAAAAUAAAAUCCCACUAAUUACUUAGGCAAAUCUAAAAUAUUUAUUCAUGUUUUACAGAAGAUCAUAACAUUUUAUCCUUUUGGAGGUUCACAAGAGCCAUUCAUCUCUUUCUUCAAUUACAGAAAUUAUUUGACUUUUGAGAUACUGCUUCCCUAAUAAAAAUAGAGAAGGUGAUUGCUUAGAAAAUUCUGAAACUCAUAUUUUGCCAAUGUUUUAUCGUACUGCAAUUAUAUGAGGUAAUAAAAUGGACUCUAAUUCACCCCUUAUUUUGAUGGCUUGUAAAUUCAAACACAUGCAGUUGUGGAAGAAUAGCUGUUAUACCACAAGAUUGAUUCUGUUAUACUGAACACUGCUAGAGUAGAUAUUAUACAACAAGGAGAUUUUAUAUAAAUACCUUAUGUCUACUCUAUAGCUUAUGUCAAGCAAUUAUUAAACAUUUGUAUUAAAUAUAUUGUCUUCUUAUCAGCACAUAUCUAAUAACUCCAGGGAGAGAUGUAAAGAACUGAUGACUUUUCUCAAUUUCCUGUGUACCAGGUGAUCUAGAUAUAAAACCCCAGUGAAGUUUAUUGAAGAAGGUAGUGUUGGCUUCAUAAUACAAAUGGGUAAACUGAGGUUCACAACAUUUAAGUAACUUGCCCAAGAUCACAUGUCUAGUAAAUGGCAUAAUCAAUCAGCCCAAAUUUAAAUCAGAUGAUAUUCCAACUACCCCACAUUAGCUAAUGGUUAUAAUGAGAGUGUAUCAAAAGCAACAAGGCACAGUAUUGGUCAAGUAUGUCUUAUAUCCUUAGUGACAUAGGAUACCCCUGCCAAUGUUACCCUUCUCAAUAGCGUUGCAUUUCUUGAAAGUCUUUUAUCUUAAAAGUUGUAUGUGGAUUUUCAACUUUAUGUUUUUAUUUUAAAAAAUAAGAUGUGAUGUUAUUUUUCAAAGCUCAAAACUAUGUUUACCCUAUAAGUUACAUGCCUCCUGGGCCACAUAUUCAUUUUUAAGAAGCAGAGAAUUAUGAUGACAUAUGGAUUUCAGGACCUCUGAGGGAACUUGCAUGGGGGGACCAUUAAUAUUGUAUGUGCAAACGGUAAUGCCUAGAAGUGUGUGGUGUGUAAUCUAUGAAUCCAUAUGCAUCAGUACUGACAAUAUUAGGACCUGUUACAAAAGUUACUACACUGGAGAGAGUUCCAAAUUUGUCAUGUUUACCAAGAUAUGUCCAACACCUAGCAGGAUGACUGGUCAAAUUAAAUGCUUAAUUAAUAUCAGUUGAUUGAAUAAACUAUUUCAGAGUCACAUGAUAUAACACAGAUUAAGACAAAUUUGUGAGAUGUAUUACAGUGCUCGUAUUUUGUUCAGUGAGAUAUAUUGGUCUCUAAUCUUUAAUUCAAUUCAUUUUACCCUAUUUAAAAUUUUCAGGUUAUACAUUACAGGGAAUUGGGAUAUGCCUAAUGAAUACAUGUGAUGCUUAAGUUUCUUUUUGUUUAACAUUGUAAGAAAAAACAAAGAAAAGGAAAAAUAGAAGCGAUAAUAUAAUAUCUGGGGAUUUUCAGAUAUUAGAGUAUAACUGUUAUAGAGGAAGACAUGGUAAGAUGAAGGCAGGUCCUUGAAUCAGGAAAGGAAAGGUUUAUAAUGUUUUGAAAGUGCUAAAAAAAAAAAAAAGCAUAUCAAUGCAAACCAUCUAACAAUAAUGAUCCAGCCAAGUACUAACUACUUAACUGUACAAAUCUUUUAACAUAGUUUAUGGGAAACACUUUUAAUGGAAGCAUAUUCUUGUUUAAUAAAGGACAUCAAUGAAGAAAUAUUUUGCUUUCCAGACAUCUUUUUGAAUCAAAACUGUUACCUAUAAAGCAUCUUUACUUUAUAGAGACCUGAGUGAAGCACAUGUAGAGGUAUUGCGGUAUUUUUCUAAAAUUUAUCUUUAUAAUGUCUGAGUGAAACAGACAGAAUUAGUGAUAUUUGCACAUUAAAGGGAUACGUUUACGCAAGAGUCAAAAACAUUAAGAUUCGAACGCAGGUUCUCUUAGUCCAUUGUUAAUGGUUCAUCUAAAAAUCGAGGUAGUUCUAUCACCCUUAUGUUUUGAGCAUCUCAUGAGAUAAUAUAGUAGAUAUAUUUAACUCUGGCCCCUUGUUUGUGGUGAAUAAGUGGUUCCCGUCACCCCACUCCUCUUAUCACAUCUCGAUUUACUGCUUUCUUAGUUUUUAGUCAUUAUUCAAAACAGUUUUCUUGAUAUUUUUUGUAGGCUGGGAUAUUUUAAAAAGCUAAUCAAAGUUAAGGACAGUCUCACAAGAAAAAUUCAGACGUACUACUCUACUUAAAAUUUUAGGGUCACAUUUGUGAAGCUCUUGCUUAAAAAACACGCGAACCCUGUGUAACAACAUAUAUGUUUUAUUUAAUAGUCCUAUUUAUAUUUGACUGCUUAGAUUGGUUUUAUGUAAUUGACAGUGUUUUAAAAUGUUAAAAUCAAGAGCAUGUGAAUAUGGGUCACACACACAAAAUGAAAGAAAGCAUAGUGUGCAAGUUGAUAUUCUCAGGGGACUGUUCAGCAGAAGGGUACAGUGUUAGAUGUAAUUUGUUUAUUGACAAUCUCCAACAAUGGUUCAGUGAACCAGCAAACACCACAAAAGUAAUGAAUCCUUUCCUCUUUUAAGUAAUUAUAUGUGAACAGUUCAAAUUAACCUGUGGUUUGAGGCUACUGCUUGGGCGAACUAAUUCGCUGAUGUAAUGACUUUUCUCAUUUUUGCUUCAAUGAUUUAGGUAACAAGGGAGGGGGAAAUGAAAAUGUGGGGCUAUGAGUUUAUAUUUUAGUGAAAAGAUUUGCUGUUUUCUGUGAGUCACAUUUGAAGACUAUCUCCAACUGAUUUAAUGUAGGACAGGGUAGUUAAAAUGUCAAACUUGAAACAAACAAAAUUUCUGCCGUGCUAUGCAGCAGUAUUAUGCACAAAAGAAACUGAAUUGAAAGAGAUAGAUAGUUUGUGAAAAACUAUUAUAAAGAUUCACCAAUCUUUUUCAAACAACAGACUGCUGUUUGGUUGGCUAUCGCUGCUCAUUAGUGCUUGAAAUCUGUUUCCAGGGGCCUGCUGCUUAUUCUGAUGCCUAAGAUGGUGAUACCAUGCUGGCAUUAUAUGGGCUAUUAUUUCUAAAUAAUGCUAUAUCAUUACCUCUGUGUCCCUGCCAUUAUUAUAUAUAGAUAUUCAGUAAUGAGACUCAAAGGAAAAUCUCAGGGGAAGGUUUCACAGCACCUAGGACAGUUCCUUUUACAUGGUCGACACUCAAAUAUUCGUGGAAGAAAUACAUGCAUUUAAUGAGAAUGUAUGCCUUUUUAUAUGGUUUCUAAAACAAUGAGUACUUUACAUACUUUUUCGUAUUACAUAUUUGUAAACAACUUAAACCUUCCCAUAAAUUGUUUCUUAAAAUUGAGAAGAUAAUCAUUGCAUUCUUCAAAAAGGGAUUGGCCAGCAUUAAUACCAAUAUUAGGAUUUAAUGAACCAUAAUGAUUCCAAAAUGUAUGGCAAAAGUAAUUGGUGUCAUUAUGAGCUGUGAGCUCCUGCCUCAUUUAUAAUGUAGGGAAGCAGUGUAGCAUGUUGGUCUGAUUUGUUAGUCAUUUCUUGUAUUAUUGUCUGUGUGUGAUCUGAUACAUGCCUCACUCUUUUGGUCUGUGAGAUGGUAUCAGUAAUUAUAAUACUUAGCUCACAAAUUAUAAUGAGGGUUAAAUGAGAUAAUUUAUAUAAAGCCUUUAACUCAGUGACUGACACUUUAAAAACUGAGCUCACAAUAAAUAUUAGCUAUUAUUAUGAUAAUUAUUAUCAUGUAAAGUAUUUCACAAUGAAAGAGAACUUGCUAUAUAAUACAUUAGACUAUUAUUUCCAGAUGAAGAAAAUGACAUGUAACUAUUUGAGGUAAUUAUUCCUCCCAGUUUUGAGGGCUUCUUUAAACUUUGGUUUAUCUGAUAUUUACUAUAUCCAUUAAAAUGCUACUCACCUAAUUUCUGUCUCAACAAAAAAAUCAUUUUGCUAUUGCGUCUGAUUUCAUUGUAUCUUGUGGAGGCAGCUCUGCAAAAAGCAUGUUCUUUAAUUCCUUUGGUGAAGCUCUUAGUAAAUGUUUUGCAUAUGGAAAGGUUCUAAGUGAGGAUAAUGAGAAAGAUUAAAGAUGGUAGUAUCUUAGACAUGAGAGGUAGUGAGUUCCUCAGGUAGUGUAAAAUAGGGAAGAAGUACUACUCUUGUCUUGCCUACAGUGAGCUUCUUGAAAGGACUCUGCAGACUUGACAGGGGCUGAGGACUAGUUAUGACAGUUCCUCAGGGAAAACUAUUUUCCAAUAAGAGAAGCUACUCUGGAGUUUUUCUUUCUCUGAAAGAAAAAUUUUCAUAGCCAUAGAAUAUUGUUUUUUAAUUCCUAACAGCAAAGUUAGAAAAUAGCAAAUAUGCAAUUUUUAUCUUCUGAAUUAGAUGAUACAGAAAGAUAAACAAAUCUGUGAUUGUAUUUAUUCAUGAUGUAAAGCACAUACAAAGCAUUUCACUCCAUGUAGAAACUGAUCUUUUUUUACUAGAUGGUAUAGAAUAUGAUUGAUCUUCAAGCAGCAUAAAAGAACAUUAAUGAAAAGUGACAAUGUUCUACCUAGAGCAGUCCAAUUGUUUUUUAAGUUCUUUAUGAUUUGUUCAGUUUCCAAAAGAUUCUUGUUAAAAAGAACUAUUAGUGAAAACAAAUUGUAGUAAGAUAAUAAUACAUUUUACUCAAUAUUUUACAUUUCAAACAAAACAUAAUUAAAGCAUCAGAUUUCAGCACUGUCUUCCAUCUUCAAAUAAGAAAAUGUUCUUACUUAUUUGCUAUUUCAUUAUUUUUAUGACUAUAUUGAACUUACUUUAUUUCAAAAUUCAAAUAUUUUUACAUUGAAUUUGCAUUUAUCAGUUUUUCAUGUAGUAUUUUGAGGAAGUUUGGUCAAAAAUAUCUUUAUAAUAAAUAAUGGACUCAUUGCUAUUGGUCAUUUGAUAUAUACAAUUACAUUAACUUAAAAUUAGAUUUGAGUAUGCAUUAUAUACACCC